ACUAUAAUAACUCCGAAGAGUAUCAAGAAUGUGUGGCACCGGUGACGUAAGAGCUGUGAAGGUGAGUGGUGCGUCCGAGUGACAACGGGAAAGAGCAUCUGCAACGACAUUUUCACGGCCUGGACGAUAUAGGAUAUCGAAGAUUCCGUAAUGGCAAACAUCUCCCGGACAUAAACCGAGGCAGCCUGCAUACGGGGGCAUAGCUUUUUGCUGAAGAAGGCUAUGGGGUGGCCGGACUGGGAAAGUACUGCACCAAUAGCUAUGGAGGAUGCAUCAGUUUCUAAGUCAAAAGGGGCAUCAAAGUUGGGUAGGGUUAGAACUGGGGAGUGGGCAAUGGCCUGUUGUAAUGCAAUAAAAGCUUUAUCUGUAUGUGUAUUCCAAGAGAAAGAAGAACGUAACAGAUCCGUGAGAGGCGCUGCAA